AAACCAACAGGGAUUCCCCUAGUAGCGGCGAGCGAACCGGGAUGAGCUCAAAUUUGUAAUCUGGCGUCCUUCGGGCGUCCGAGUUGUAAUCUACAGAGGCGUCUUCCGCGUCGGACCGUGUGCAAGUCCCCUGGAAUGGGGUAUCGAAGAGGGUGAGAAUCCCGUGCUUCACACGACUACCGGGGCUAUGUGAUGCGUCCUCGACGAGUCGAGUUGUUUGGGAAUGCAGCUCAAAACGGGUGGUAGACUCCAUCUAAAGCUAAAUACGGGCGAGAGACCGAUAGCGAACAAGUACCGUGAGGGAAAGAUGAAAAGCACUUUGGAAAGAGAGUGAAACAGUAUGUGAAAUCGUUGAGAGGGAAACGAUUGAAGCCAAUCGUGUCCCUGGGGCUCAGCCGGUUCUGCCGGUGCACUCCCCUUGGAUGGGUCAACAUCGGUUCGGGACGGCGGAUUAGGGCUGGAGGAACGUGGCACCCCCGGGUGUGUUAUAGCCUCCUGUCGGAAACGCCGGCCUGGACCGAGGAACGCGACUUUUGUCGAGGAUGUUGGCGCAAUGGCUUUAAACGACCCGUCUUGA
rnacentral:rRNA from 1 species